rnacentral:tRNA from 1 species
UAUAUUUUGGUGUACGAAGCACAUAAGUUUUUGAUACUUUUAGAAAUAGUUUAAUUCUAUUAAAUAUAA